AACGAACGCUGGCGGCAGGCCUAACACAUGCAAGUCGAGCGAAGCCUUCGGGCUUAGCGGCGGACGGGUGAGUAACGCGUGGGAACGUGCCCUUUGGUACGGAAUAGCCCCGGGAAACUGGGAGUAAUACCGUACGUGCCCUUCGGGGGAAAGAUUUAUCGCCAAAGGAUCGGCCCGCGUUGGAUUAGGUAGUUGGUGGGGUAAUGGCCUACCAAGCCGACGAUCCAUAGCUGGGUUGAGAGGAUGAUCAGCCACACUGGGACUGAGACACGGCCCAGACUCCUACGGGAGGCAGCAGUGGGGAAUCUUAGACAAAGGGGGAAACCCUGAUCUAGCCAUGCCGCGUGAUCGAUGAAGGCCUUAGGGUUGUAAAGAUCUUUCAGUGGGGAAGAUAAUGACUGUACCCACAGAAGAAGCCCCGGCUAACUCCGUGCCAGCAGCCGCCGUAAAAC
rnacentral:rRNA from 1 species